UACGAGGGGGCAAAUGUUGUUCGGAAUCACUGGGCGUAAAGGGAGCGUAGGCGGGUUCUUAAGUAAGGUGUUUAAUCCCGGGGCCCAACCCCGGACCGGCACUUUAAACUGGGAAUCUUGAAUAGUGGAGAGGUCGGUGGAAUUGGGGGUGUAGCGGUGGAAUGCGUAGAGAUCCCCAAGAACACCAGUUGCGAAGGCGGCCGACUGGACACAUAUUGACGCUGAGGCUCGAAAGCAUGGGGAGCAAACAGG
rnacentral:rRNA from 1 species